AGAGUUUGAUCAUGGCUCAGGAUGAACGCUAGCGGCAGGCCUAACACAUGCAAGUCGAGGGGUAACAUAGAAAAGCUUGCUUUUCUGAUGACGACCGGCGCACGGGUGCGUAACGCGUAUACAACCUACCUUUUAGCGGGGAAUAGCCCAGGGAAACUUGGAUUAAUGCCCCAUAGUAUAUGGACUUCUCCUGAAGUUUAUAUUAAACAUUUAUGGCUAUUAGAUGGGUAUGCGUCCUAUUAGUUAGUUGGUAAGGUAACGGCUUACCAAGGCAGCGAUAGGUAGGGGUCCUGAGAGGGAGAUCCCCCACACUGGUACUGAGACACGGACCAGACUCCUACGGGAGGCAGCAGUGAGGAAUAUUGGACAAUGGGCGAGAGCCUGAUCCAGCCAUGCCGCGUGCAGGAAGACUGCCCUAUGGGUUGUAAACUGCUUUUACAGAGGAAGAACCACCCCCACGUGUGGGGGUUUGACGGUACUCUGCGAAUAAGGAUCGGCUAACUCCGUGCCAGCAGCCGCGGUAAUACGGAGGAUCCAAGCGUUAUCCGGAAUCA
rnacentral:rRNA from 1 species